AAAUCAGGUGGGACUACCCGCUGAACUUAAGCAUAUCAAUAAGCGGAGGAAAAGAAAAUAACUAUGAUUCCCUUAGUAACGGCGAGUGAACAGGGAAAAGCCCAAAUUUGUA
rnacentral:rRNA from 1 species